rnacentral:rRNA from 1 species
GGAUUGUUCACCCACCAAUAGGGAACGUGAGCUGGGUUUAGACCAUUGUGAGAUAGGUUAGUUUUACCCUACUGAUGACAAUGUCGCAAUAGUAAUUCAACCUAGUACGAGAGGAACCGUUGAUUCGCACAAUUGGUCAUCGCGCCUGGUUGAAAAGCCAGUGGCGUGAAGCUACCGUGCGCUGGAUUAUGACUGAACGCCUCUAAGUCAGAAUCUGGAUUAUGACUGAACGCCUCUGGAUUAUGACGCAUGCGCCCGCCGCCCGCUUGCAGAACCGCAGUAGGGGCCGUCCGGCCCCCAAAGGCACGUGUCGUUGGUAAAGCCCGCACGAGCCGCCUUGAAGUACAAUUCCUAUCUCGAGCGGCGGGUAGAAUCCUCCGCAGACGACUUAAUUACGCGACAGGGUAUUGUAAGUGGCAGAGUGGCCUUGCUGCCACGAUCCACUGAGAUUUAGCCCUGCGUCGCUCCGAUUCCUCCCUCCC